AGCUGAGGUAGUUGACAGGGACCCCCGCGGGUGGACCACACCCGGGGAGGCAUAAGGCGCCCCCUGUCGGUUCAAGGGGAUGGUCGCAGCAGGACGGCAGUUCCACGAGUGGGAGUUCCGCGGAGAGGAGGUGGGCUGCUGUGCAGGCUCAUGACCCUCGGGGUGGGAUGGCAAGCAGGGAGAUGGGGGACUGUUCCCAGGACGAGAGGGGACGGGGCAGGGUUUCUACGGCCAGCCUACCCAGGAUGUCUUCUCCUUACAGGUUUCGAGGACGGUCACCCUCGGAGAGGGAGAGACCCCACGCGACAAGGACAGCAGGG